CAGUAGCCGCGGUAAUACGUAGGGUGCAAGCGUUAAUCGGAAUUACUGGGCGUAAAGCGUGCGCAGGCGGUUAUAUAAGACAGAUGUGAAAUCCCCAGGCUCAACCUGGGAACUGCAUUUGUGACUGUAUAGCUAGAGUACGGCAGAGGGGGAUGGAAUUCCGCGUGUAGCAGUGAAAUGCGUAGAUAUGCGGAGGAACACCGAUGGCGAAGGCAAUCCCCUGGGCCUGUACUGACGCUCAUGCACGAAAGCGUGGGGAGCAAACAGGAUUAGAUACCCCAGUAGUCCCUGUCUCUUAUAC
rnacentral:rRNA from 1 species